rnacentral:rRNA from 1 species
GUGCCAGCCGCCGCGGUAAUACCAGCACCCCGAGUGGUCGGGAUGAUUAUUGGGCCUAAAGCAUCCGUAGCCGGUGUAACAAGUCCUCCGUUAAAUCCACCUGCUUAACAGGUGGGCUGCGGAGGAUACUGUUACACUAGGAGGCGGGAGAGGCGAGGGGUAUUCCACGGGUAGGGGUAAAAUCCUCUGAUCCGUGGAGGACCACCAGUGGCGAAGGCGCCUCGCCAGAACGCGCUCGACGGGGAGGGAUGAAAGCUGGGGGAGCAAACCGGAUUAGAUACCCGGGUAGUCCCAGCCGUAAACGAUGUAGGCUCGGUGAUGGACUGGCUCCGAGCCAGUCCAGUGCCGCAGGGAAGCCGUUAAGCCUACCGCCUGGGGAGUACGGCCGCAAGGCUGAAACUUAAAUGAAUUGACGGGG